rnacentral:misc_RNA from 1 species
UUAAGUUCAGCGGGUAGUCCUACCUGAUUUGUGGUCAAGCGUCAAAAAGGUAAAAAGGGUCCCAAAGUCCCCCCAAUACCAUGUUUUUCGAAGCAAAGAUCGAAUCUAGGCCUCACACUCCAGCCACGACGAUCAUUAUCACGUCAAAGGCCGUGCAUGCAGGGCUUGUCAACCUUUCGCUAAUGCUUUUAAGGAGAGCC